rnacentral:rRNA from 1 species
GAGGAGUGGAGAGGAGACUGGAAUACUUGGUGUAGCAGUGAAAUGCGUAGAGAUCGUGAGGAAGACCAGUGGCGAAGGCGGAUCUCUGGACAGUUCCUGACGCUGAGGCGCGAAGGCCAGGGGAGCAAACGGGAUUAGAUACCCCGGUAGUCCUGGCAGUAAACGGUGCACGUUUGGUGUGCGCGGAUUCGACCCCGUGCGUGCCGGAGCUAACGCGUUAAACGUGCCGCCUGAGGAGUACGGUCGCAAGAUUAAAACUCAAAGAAAUUGACGGGGGCCCGCACAAGCGGUGGAGUAUGUGGCUUAAUUCGAUGCAACGCGAAGAACCUUACCUGGGCUUGACAUGCAUCGUGUCGCCGGUGAAAGCCGGCUAGUGUAGCAAUACACGCUUUGCACAGGUGCUGCAUGGCUGUCGUCAGCUCGUGUCGUGAGAUGUUGGGUUAAGUCCCGCAACGAGCGCAACCCUUGUGAACUGUUGCUACCCAGCACUUCGGUGUUGGGGCACUCUGUUCAGACUGCCCUGUGAAACGGGGAGGAAGGUGGGGACGACGUCAAGUCAGGAUGGCCCUUACGCCCAGGGCUGCACACGUACUACAAUGCUCAGUACAGAACGAACCGAAAUCGCGAGGUGGAGGAAAUCACUAAAACUGAGCCCAGUUCGGAUUGUAGGCUGCAACUCGCCUACAUGAAGCCGGAAUCGCUAGUAAUGGCGUAUCAGCUACGACGCCGUGAAUACGUUCCCGGGCCUUGUACACACCGCCCGUCACAUCAUGGGAGUCGCUUGUACCCGAAGUGUCUGUGCUAACCGCAAGGAGGCAGGGCCCUAAGG